rnacentral:lncRNA from 1 species
CAGCUCGUCGUCUUUCCUCAGAUGUGGGUGCACCCCAUUUUACCAUUAGAGCCCCCAAAGGAUGUUGUGCACAUGCGCGUUUCGCGAGCUACCGGAGCGCGAGAGGUAGCGAAGGGAGUCCUAAUGGCGGAGAAUGUACGGUCGCCUUUUGACUACCGGGAGCCACCGACCCUCGACAGCGACGGGGAUGGGAGCAAACCUCCGCCGCCACGGGGCCGCGUGUGUGGGAGAAAAAGGAAGGGGACACCUGUGAAGGUGUGUGACCGAGCGUAUGUAACAGAAGAUGAGGAGGAGGAGAGCAUGUCAGAGCACAGCUACAGUCCUGGUGAUGGCCAGUACCCAGAAGGUGCAGAAGACCGUCUCCCUCCACCUGGCAGUCCCUACUACCUGCCUGACCCCACUCAACUCUGUGUGCAAGAACUGGGAGAGGAGGGAGCAAGUGGCGUUCGGGGGCCUGUGCUCUUCCAUCCGCCACCCAACUGCCGGAUUCGAGAAGUCCACUGUGGGACCCAGGUGCGGUUGGUUGUCAUAGCAAUCCGAGACAUCGCUAAAGGGGAGGAGAUCACAGUGGACUACAGCCUGACGGACUGGGGCGAAAAUGCAAUGGAGGAUGACGCUGGCCCCCACCCACUGUCCCUUUCUGUGUCUGACUACCUUACCCCCUCCUGGUCGUUGUCCCCCUCAUCAUCCCCAGUCACCCACUCUGAACCCAGUGACUCAGACCGUGAGGAGGAUGAAGAGGAAGAAGAUGAUGAUGAUGACGAUGAUGAUGAAGAGGAGGAAAUUGAGGAGAUAAGGGGCCGAAUGCUCCGGCGCCGCAAGAAGCGCAAGAUGCCAGCUGCUGUCAAUGCAAAGAAGAAGAGUGCACCCACCUCCUCUAGAGGACCUGGGCGUCCCUGCUCCUCCUUUUCUCGCCCAGCACCUGUUCCACCCCCAGUCAGAUCCCAAUCCCAGCCCCCAGUCAGUGCUCUGGCACCCCCAACCACCAACAUCAACAAUAACAUUAACAUAAACAUUGGCAGCUCCAGCAAUGCUGCAGUAAGCCGGCGGCAGCACUGCCCAUACUGCGGCCGCCACUAUCGCUCUCUGGCACGGCAUCUGGAGAAACACCACGCCAACCAGCCUGAGGUCAGGACAGCCAUGGAGCUGGCACACCUCCACACGCAUAGCUCUUCAAACGGCAGUGCCUCACACCCUCAACCCUCAUCGUCCACCAAUGCCACUACUCACAGUCAUUCCUUUGCCGUCCCUCAGCCCUCUGCCUCCAACCCUGCACCACCCUCUCUCUUCUCACGGAAGAAGGAAUCGCCAGCUACCCGCUCAAACACAGGGAGCGUGUCUUUCUCCCUCUCCCUUUCACCACCUUCUUCGACUCAAUCCACAGCAGCCAAGAAGGCGCCAAGCUUACCACUGCCUGUGACAAAACCUCCCACACCUGUGAUGGUGUCUCGAGUAAAGAGUCCAUCACCACCUCCGUUGUCAACUCCAAGAAGAGGUCGGAGGAUGAAGAGAGAAAAGCAUGAAGAACAGCAGAAGGUGGAGGUAGAGAGCUCAAGAACUCCAGAGGAGUUGGUUCCACCUCCCACUCCAGAGCCAGACAUAGACCCAGAUGAAGAUCUGGAGCUGAGUGGAGAAGGGGAAGAAGAUGUCCCAGAGGAAAAGAAUGGCGAGACUGUAAGCACACACAGACAUCACAUGUCUCCACUGCUCUCUUCCCUCUCCUGUCUGGUCCUCUACCUCCGCCGCCAGCAACACUCUGCUUUUCUUUCUUUAACUCGAUCUCCUCACUCAGCUGAGGCCUGGCGUCUGCUCUGCCAUUCUAGCCUCUCCCUGCUUAUUCUCUACAACCGCCACAGAGAAUGUGAGGUAGCCAAGCUCACUGUCCAGGACUACCGCAACCGUGUCACCCCUCAGACCAGCUCCAGCACCAGCUCUCCCUCUGGUAUGGAAGCUCUCUUGUCCCCCUUUGAGCGUCAGGUCCUGUGUCACCUCCCAAGGGCUGGUGUUUUAGGGAAGCGGGGUCGCAUCCAACCGCUAAUUCUCCCACCACACUGUGAGUCAUUCCUGGACCUGCUUCUACAAACUAGCCCCAAUGUGGGCGUGGACCCAGAAAGCCCUUAUGUCUUUUCCCGGCCCUACCACUCUCCUGCCACCCCUCUCCGGGGCACGGACCUUCUAAGAAACCUGGCACGAGCCAGUGGGGCCAAGAACCCUGGAGCACUAACAGCAACGCGAGUGCGGCGGCAGGUAGCCAUCCUUACACAAUUGCUACUAUUAGAGGAGGGUGAGGGUCAGGGUGGAGCAACCAAACGCCUGGAGGAGUUCCUGGAGCGAGAGUACCAUGUAACCCAGAACUGCUCCACUAUAAUACAUGAUCCAGCACUUAUGGGUCGUGUGGGUCGUGUUGUUCUUUAUGGAGAGAGGGAAGGCGUGCUUUUCAGAGGGAUGAGUCUGCAGCACAUCUGCCUUGAGUUGGACGUGAUGUCUGGAAACUCAGCAGACUCCUUUUCAGAAGAGUCUGAGGCAGAAGAAGAGAAAGAGGAAGUCAAAGAGAAGGCUGAGGUAAUGGUGAAAAAGAAAGGACCAGGCCGGCCACCACGGAAGAAGAGAGCACCCAUUCCUUCACCGGUCAGCCCACCAAUAGCCAAUGUUCAUAAAAGGAGAUGUAUUCCACCUAAAUCAGGGAAGCGUGGUGUAUUGAAGCGUCCCUGGUCAGAGGCGGAGCGUGUAGCAGUGGAGACUCACCUGAAGAGAAACCUCAUGGAGCUGCGUGUCCCUGCAAAGGCGGACUGCGAGCGCUGCCUCGAACUCUGCCCUCUGCUAGUGAGCAACCAGCGAGACUGGAGGGCAAUCAAAUUUUACGUCCAUAAUCGCAUCCAGCUGUUGAAGAAGCAGGGGAGGAGGGAAAGCGCUGCUGCAGUCUGCUAG